AUAAAUUCCGCCAGCCGAUUGCAGUUGAAUCUGAUUAGCCAGCGUGAGGAGGCUUGUUUAUUUUACCCAAUAGAUGCAGAUGUGCUUGGUGAUCAUGCUUUAAUCACGCAUCUAUCUUUGUUUGGGAUAGUUCUUUGUUGGCUGGAUAUAUUUUAGGCACGGAUUAGACGCUGUGUGGAAGAAAAGAAUCGGAUUUCCUCCGUGUUAUUCAAAUAUAUAUUGAUAAAAAGAACUUAAUAUUAUGCAGUGAGUGACCACUAGACAAGAUAUCCAGUUGCCUAAUUGGGAUAAUGAUAAGUUGAAAAGUUGCACGUUUCUAAGGAAUGAAAGAUUACAAACCCCAGAUAAAUUGCAAGUGUUUGUUCAUGUUGGUAACGAAAACUUUUUUGUAUGUCUGCAUGUAUGUAUGUACGUACAUACAGACAUACACAUAAUGCGUAUGUGUGCUAUAUGUUACGUGUACUCGUAGGUUUUCGUGUUGUUCUCUUUUGGUUUUUGCAGUCAUAUCCAGUGGUCAGUGGCAUAUAUAUUGAAUGUGGACUCAACAGGAGCCUAACAAAAACAUAUCAUGUCACCAAAAACAUCAGAUGGCCUAUCGAAAAUGUACCGCAAGGCAUCACAGAGUGGAAAAGAACUUGUAGGUGAAAUCCAAAAACACGUUUGUUUCGGAAAGGAACAACUUUUGCUCGUAAGAGCGAAAUUUUAAAUCAGAGAGGAUGCCAUUCUCCAAAUUUUCGACACUCCUAUGCUUUCUACUUCAAAAGUUGUUCCCUUCAGAAAAAUACGGCGUGUUUUGGAUUUUGCUGAUAAGAUUUUUUUCCACCCUGUAAAGUUUGGAGGAAAGUUUUCGAUGGAUGACCCUGUAUAUACAUACAGCUGAAUUGAACUUUUUAUCUUUUCAACUUCAGUAAAUUAUUUUGAUGAUAAAGACC